CCUACGGGAGGCAGCAGUGGGGGAUAUUGCACAAUGGGGGAAACCCUGAUGCAGCAACGCCGCGUGAGUGAAGAAGUAUUUCGGUAUGUAAAGCUCUAUCAGCAGGGAAGAGAAUGACGGUACCUCACUAAGAAGCCCCGGCUAACUACGUGCCAGCAGCCGCGGUAAUACGUAGGGGGCGAGCGUUAUCCGGAUUUACUGGGUGGAAAGGGAGCGUAGACGGCAGUACAAGUCUGAAGUGAAAGCCGGGGGCUCAACCGCGGAACUGCUUUGGAAACUGUGUAGCUGGAGUACUGGAGAGGCAGGCGGAAUUCCUAGUGUAGCGGUGAAAUGCGUAGAUAUUAGGAGGAACACCAGUGGCGAAGGCGGUCUGCUGGACAGUAACUGACGCUGAGGCGCGAAAGCGUGGGGAGCAAACAGGAUUAGAUACCCUAGUAGUC
rnacentral:rRNA from 1 species